UGUAAACUCCUGUCGUUAGGGACGAUAAUGACGGUACCUAACAAGAAAGCACCGGCUAACUACGUGCCAGCAGCCGCGGUAAAACGUAGGGUGCAAGCGUUGUCCGGAAUUACUGGGUGUAAAGGGAGCGCAGGCGGGAAGACAAGUUGGAAGUGAAAACCAUGGGCUCAACCCAUGGAUUGCUUUCAAAACUGUUUUUCUUGAGUAGUGCAGAGGUAGAUGGAAUUCCCGGUGUAGCGGUGGAAUGCGUAGAUAUCGGGAGGAACACCAGUGGCGAAGGCGGUCUACUGGGCACCAACUGACGCUGAGGCUCGAAAGCAUGGGUAGCAAACAGGAUUAGAUACCCUGGUAGUCCAUGCCGUAAACGAUGAUUACUAGGUGUUGGGGGAUUGACCCCCUCAGUGCCGCAGUUGACACAAUAAGUAAUCCACCUGGGGAGUACGACCGCAAGGU
rnacentral:rRNA from 1 species